AAUAGCUCACUCGUGAUGGGGCAUUGUGAUUUUCUAGGAAUGUUGUAGAAGUUUAAAUUGAAAAUGAAAA